CCGUGGGGUUGCCAGGGGAGAUGGAUGAUUAUUGAUUUGAUGGUGACGGUGCAAGGCGUUCAUUAAAAUUAUUGAAUUUUGCAUCGAUCGUAUUAAAGAUCAGAGAAGUCAGAGUUGCGCUUUCGAAUAUGUUUUGCAGGAACAAUUGGACCACCUCUGAAGAGGCAAGUCACUCGAGCUUGCGAAACGUUGGGCAAAAUUAUUUUCCAGGACAGCCUAAAAGCCCCCAAAACUUAACAGUUGCAAAAUGCAUUCAACUCCGAAAAAAAUGUUUAUGGGGACAAAACACGAUGGGGAAGAAAAAAUCGAAAACGUGACCAUUCGCCUCACAUUGACAUCACAUUGCAAUUUAAAAUAUAAUUUAUGAUUCACAUAUUAAGCCAGACAGGCUGCAUGAUGCAUACUAAGAAGCUAGUCAUCGAUGGAUUUAAAAGAUCUUUUGCCAAAUCGGGUGUCUGCAGACGGUCAAAAGCCUGCUGACUAAAUAAAAUCGACACAAAAACAUAGACAAAUUGCGUAAAAUAUCCAGGAAAUCACACCAAAGCUAGACAAUGAUUUAGAAACGCCACAGUCAAAGAAUGCAAGAACUUGUAUCAUUUAAGGCUGGACACUCGCUUAUUGAAUUGUAUUAGUAAUAAAUUUCAUUUUUUCCUUAA